UCAUAGAUUGGAACCAGUCCAGUUGUCAUCUGAGAGGCUUCCUCCAUCAUGGAGGAGAUGGAGAUAGAACAACCACUGUCAGGUGGAAUACUAUGAGCUCCAGAUUCAGGAAGCCAAGACGGGAGUGUUGUGCCUGGGAAAAUUAGGACAACCCUGACUCAAAGAAACAAAAGAAACUGAAGCAAGAGGACAAACAGCAAAACGUUUUUGAGUUGUCAUAGAAAGAGCAAGCCUGGUCCUUCCAAUAGAAGAAGGAGAAGAAUCCCAGCUCAAAAACUCAGAAAACAUAUUUAAGAAAAUCAUAGAUGAAAAUUUUCUAACCUAAAGAAGAACAUGCCUGUGGUGGCAUGCAUGUAAAACAGUCCCUGUCUGGAUGGACCUGCGCCUGCAGCGGGAAGUU
rnacentral:lncRNA from 1 species